rnacentral:rRNA from 1 species
CCCUUAGAUGUUCUGGGCUGCACGCGCGCUACACUGAUGCACUCAACGAGUUUACGACCUUGCCCGAUAGGGUUGGGUAAUCUUUUUAAAAUGCAUCGUGAUGGGGAUAGAUUAUUGCAAUUAUUAAUCUUCAACGAGGAAUUCCUAGUAAGCGCGAGUCAUCAGCUCGUGCUGAUUACGUCCCUGCCCUUUGUACACACCGCCCGUCGCUCCUACCGAUUGAGUGCUCAGGUGAAUAAUUCGGACUGCAGCAAUGUUUGGAUCCCGAACGUUGCAGCGGAAAGUUUAGUGAACCUUAUCACUUAGAGGAGGGAGAAGUCGUAACA